rnacentral:piRNA from 1 species
UACAGUGCGCAUGACCGCAGCUUCUC